rnacentral:misc_RNA from 1 species
ACGGUUCUUAAAAAAUAUGAACCUAAACCAAACCGCAGAAGGACAGUUUCGGUCCGGUUUGAAGUCGGUUCCGAUUUUGACCGGUUUUGAUCUGAUUUUGACCGAACCGAUUUCGGUUCAAAACCGGACCGUGACCACCCCUAGUAUUAUAUAUCAUUUUAGAGUAAAAAAUGGGUUUUCCAAAUAAAUUAUAAUUUUGAAUAGGAAAAUUUAUUGUAUUAUUUACUAUUUUUAUAGGUAAAAG